CUGCUGCCCCUUGUACUUGCCAGUCCUGCCCGGUCCCAGAAUGUCAUCUGCCGGAGCCGCCUUAUUUAUGGAAUGGCUCCACUGCCAUGACUCAUCACAGGUCGAUGUAGGCACCCUGCCAACUCAGCCCUCCGUUUGGCUUGCUGACCCUUGAAGUCAAUGUAACUGUGCCUCCAGUGAGUCAAAGCGGCGGGACCUCGGACGGCUCAGCAAGUUGCAGCGGGACAUCAGACAGCUUGGCAAGUCAUGGCAGUACCUGGGCAAGUUGCGGUGGGACCCAGGCAAGUCGCAGCAGGACCCGGGCAAUGGCGGGACCUCAGCCAGUCGCGCAGCAAGCCAGCUGGGCACCACCUGUUGAAGAUAAGCCUAUAAGGAGAUAAAAUUGCUGAGUCAACAUCCUAGGAGGAGCUGCCAGAGAGGGUUGCCUGAUCAAGAAGAAAUAUUAAACACUAUAGAAGACAGAACAGAUUUUUGUGUUACGACAUUGAGUCCUGAUUUUAUUAGAGUAGUUCACCUUCUCUGACCAAAUAGAAGAAAUUAAUGUAACUAAAUUUUAGACAGCCCUGGAUUCUUAGAAUGGAAGAGAAGCAAAAGGCAGUGAAUGCUCAAGAAAUGCUGUAUUUGGAUCUUAAACAUGGUAGUUUAUGAUUUUAACAUAAUUUUUAACAUCUAGAAAUUAGAGAUGGUGUUCAAAAAUGUCCUGAAGCCCAUCCAUCCAUUCAUUUAUUUAUUCAACAAAUAUUUCCUAAUCAACUAAUUCAUACUCCAGACUCUGACAGGCAGCUGGACAGAACUGUGAAUAAAACCCUGUGCCACCUUCUUGGAGUUCACUUUCUUAAACAAAGAAUAAAGAAUUAUGUCACAUAAUACCCUAUUCCACUGGUUGCCCUAAUGAUAACCUCUUAAUUUUCUUUUAUUCAAAAAUGUGGUUAUGACUAGUGGAGAAAAAGUGUGCUAUUUUCUUUCCUCUGUAACUUUGUCUUUCUAAAUUGUAUUUUAGCAACCUGAAAGGGACAAAUUGGCUGAAGAAAGAGAAAAUUCUAAGUCUUUAACAGACCAUGACAAAAACAGGGCUAAAUAAUUAUUUCAAAGAAAAUGAAAUUACUUUUUUUUUAUCGCCAUACCCUGAAUGGCUUUCCCUGUUGUACCCUGUAAGACUGUAAUAGCACUAGCUGCAGAAUGUACAAUUCCUGACAAUAGACAAUACAACUGAAAAAAUUAGUCUCCUGUGUUCAAAAUAACACUCUCAUAACAAUGGGAAAUUUGUGCCUGCUCUCUCCAGACCUUUGCUGUGCAGAAUACCAGUGCAGGCUAAUUAUAAGAGCUAGCUGAAAAUUGUGUGCGUAAUGGAAAGGCAACCCCCUAAAGAACCACACAGAAAAGGUCUUACCGUCAAAUGCAAAACAACAGGAAAGAAAAACAGAAAAACAGAGAGUAAACGUGAGAGCAUGCACAGGGGCAUCCUCAUUAGCAUAGUGCAGUGAACUGGUGUGCUGUAUGCACACCAAAGACUUGCAAAACUCUCCAGCUUCAAAAGGACACCUUCCAUGAUGACAGAAUGUCCCCCCCAUACCAAGUCAGUGCUUGGCCACAAGUGCAGAUAUUGAUCAUCCUUUUGAUGAAAAUUGUUGUCACUUUUGGGAGCAAAAGUUGUGCAUGUCUGUGAGAGAGCUGAACAGAGCUGCAGGCAAGGGCCAUGUGUUAUCAGAACAUCAUUAUCAAUGUGCACAUCACGCACACUGGCCAAGGAGCAACCAGGUCUCUGCAAGCUAUGCUGAGGCAAAGAUCAAUUUCUCUCAGUUCCACUUUUCCUGUGUCUUCAUACUACAUGCUUGAUUUGUGAAAGGCAGUAUAGGCUUAGAAUAAAGGCCUUCAGGGAAAGUCGAGCAGAGCUUUGUACCCUGACACCCCCCAACAAACAAACAAAACAACAGGUCCCACAUGACCAAAACACAUGUGCUGUGCCUGUGGGAUUCUUCAUACAGCAGGAAUAUUUAAGUUAUGAAAUAUUUUCCCUUUUUUCCCAUGUGCCCAUCUCAAAAAGGUGACCUGUCUUCUGUAUCAGGGUGCUACCUCAAUAGGGAGCAGCUUUCAAGGACAGUUUGCAUAUCUAGAGUGUCUUUCUGCAAACAAAAGUCAUGAGCCUGUUUACCCAGAGGUUCAGCUGAACAGCAGGACAGACCCAGGCUACUGACCUGGAUUUCAACGUGUCACCACCCCAGGGAAGGGCGUGAAUGGCUUACAGGCAGCUGCUUCAAUGCCUUCCUCCCACAAGCGCUAUUUUUAAAAUUAAAAAGAGGAAAAGAGAAAGAGGAAAAGAGAAAGAGGGAUGUGUGUGUGUGUGUGUGUGUGUGUGUGUGUGUGUGUGUGUGUGUGUAAAAGAAACAGAGACAGAGGCACAGAGAGAAAAAAAAAAACAGAGACUGGGGGGGGGUGUUCAUUACUAGGAAGAGAGAAAUACAGAAGAAAAAAGGAAAAAUAUGGAGAAAAAUACAGAAGAGUGCUGAGUCCUCCUUAAAGUUGCGUGGCAUGAGAAUUUUGCCAUAGCUCUCAGCUGAACAGCCUUCUAACUGUCAGCCAAGCACACAGCAAAAUGAAACUCAGAUUACCUCCUUUCAGGGAGACCACAGGCCCUGCCCACAUGCAUAUCCUUCCUGGCCCCCACGCAGAGCACUGCUACACUCCGUCCUUCCAGGUGCCAUCUAGAGAGCUCCUCACUUUGGAAUCUCAGGCCCGAGUGCCUUUUCUGCAUAAGAAGCAUGGAACUUAUGGACUUCUUUCUACCCAAUUUGAAUAAAAGGAUGUAACGGACUCCCCAAAAUACAAGAUUACUUCCCAGCGGAGACCACACCUCACCUGUGCCCACUGGCAAGACAAGUGGGAAGAUCUGAGAUCUAUUCCAGAUAUUAGAUAGACAAUAUUUCUUAAAACACUGGCCAUGGAGGAGACAGAGGUUUAAAGAGAAAGAUAUAAACAAGACAGGAUCAUAAUUAAUUCUCCACUAUUUCUCAUAAACGCUUUCUAAAAAUACUGGGUUCAGAGUAUCUCUAGGCUCAGAAAAUCCCUCUUAAUCCUGAUACGAUUUCUUUCUCUGCCACUUCCUCCCCCCUCUCACCUUCCGGCUAUACGCUCACCUUGUGUGCUUUCGAAUGUAUGAUCAUAUUUCCCCAGGAUUUGUUUCUUUCUCAUUUUCUGUGUGUUUUAUUCAGGCAGCACCAUUAAUGAAAUGAAUUACCAAGCUAGCAAUGCUUUGAAUUAUGAUGGCUUUGCAAUAUUGAAUUGUGAAACUUGACAACCAGGCACCGAGAGAAUUGUGUCUCAUACACUGUUUCUCGAAUUGGAGAGUAUCUUUGUUAAUAUAAACUCAGAAUCAGUUUUCCCAACUAAAAUCACAGACAGUGAAUGGAAAGCAAAAGAGUGUAUCUGACAGAAUGAAGACAGGAGAGAAAAUGGGGCCCUCGAAAGUUCAGAUUUGGGGAAGAAGGAAGUCAGCCUUAAAUGUGGGUUCUACUCUGACUUAGUCUUCAGCCCUAACGUUUAAUUCCUUCUCAAUAAAGUAAUUAAAGAAGUUAAGAUGUGUUAAAAAAUAACCCUGACACGCAGAAAUCAGGCAAUAAAUCUUAUGUUUUCACUAUCCUACACUGUUACUGCAUUCUUUUCCCAAGCCAGUCACUGUCAUUGCUCUUAGGAUCGGAAAUCUGUCACACCUAUAGGAAGCCACUCAAAAAUGAAAACCACGGAAGCUCUUUUAGUCUGCUUUGUUUUCAUGUCUCCCCUGUCCCCUUUCAUUCAAAGCCUUCAGGAUUUUCUUCUUUUUCAUCUAAAAUUAUUCCACCUUGCUCCAGAAAUAGGUAAAAAAGAAGACCUCUCAUUUUUGAGUUGAGAGAAAACGUGACUCGUGAACAGAUCCUAUUUGAGGGGUCAGCCCACACUACAGAGGAGAUGUUAGAGAGAGCCCACUUUAACAUCCGAUGUGGUGCUACCUCUCAGACAAGUCAUAGGAUAGACAGAAACUGAUCAAGAUGAAAGUAGGAAGUGCAGAGAGUCAGAAUCACAAACAAGACAUCACAACAAGACAGGGAUAGACAGAUCUGUAGCCCCUGGAAAGGUAUCUGGGGUUCAGGUUAGAAUGACCCAUACAAAAGGACUAAAUGUCAGGGAGAACAAGAAAGAGUUCAAGAAAUUAAUUGCAGAGGUGAAGCAUGUCACAGUGGACAGCUGUAGAGUUGCGUUUCAAGGAGAAAUCAAAGUGUGACUGGAGAGAAACCCACCUAAAAAGCUCACUUAGAUUGGUGGGCUGAGGCACUGGGUAUGGAAAAAGAAACGGAACAGGACUUAAGCGUUCUGCUAGGCACAGUCUAUGAGUAACCAAAACCCCAAGGUCAGACUCACAGGCUAAGUAAGAAUUCUGUCACUGUCAAAUCUAAGACUUCCUUAAAAUUUCAAUUUCAUUUUCUGGUGAAAGCACUUCUUAAACAGUUCUUACCAAAACUGACUGUAAAAAGCGGGAAAGGAUCCAUUUGUAUACAAACUGUCAAACGCUACAGUAAGAGUGGUAAAAAGGACCGUGGCUCUCCUCUGAGACGUCUGCUACAACUUGUGGACUAAGCCCUGGAGGUGUUUAGGCAGCCAGCUGAGAUGGCUCUAACUGCUCUGCUGAAGCUUCUGUAGUUGCUCCAUCUAAGAUCACAGGCUUGGCCCACGUGUUGCCAUGCGAGCUUGCUUGCUUUCCCGUUUGUGGCAUCUGUCACAUCUUGCAGCUCCCUCACCUCCUUGCUCACCCUGACAUUCUUUUGCAUCUACCUUGCAAAUAUGCAGUAGUCAAGUGAUAUAGCUCCUGACAAGAUAUUCCUAGAGUCGACCUUGGUCUGGUAGGGAAAAAAAGAGACAUACAGGCCCUUGGGAAAGCUACUGCCUUGAUAAUCCAUGGGGUUCAAUUUGCUAUGCCUUUUGUAUUCCUUGACAAUUCUAUUACCAGUCCCGGCUCCCUCAAUGGCUACUCCAGGCAUGCACAGUUAUCCUGCUGUCUCUGCCAUUCUCUGCCCUCCUAACAGUUCAUUUAAUCAUGCUUCUUAUUUCACAGAAACACAACGCUGCUAGGUGUGAAUUAAUCUAUAGCUGUCACUCAUCUUGACCUUCCACCUCAGAAGAAAAAGUGUCUCCUCUUUUUCAGAAGGAUAAUCCACCCGCCAUUUGUCCCCCCAUCUUCUCUGAGAUUGGGUCCCUUCCUUCGUAUUUCUUUUAACUUAAUAUUUACUGUCUCCCUACCACUGUAGUUUUCUCAUGCUCAAUUCUCUGUCCUCUCUAAAUAAACAA